UUCAGGAGCCCGCCUGAAGAAUAGGGUGAUUAAAAAAUAACAAAUCAGGAGCUCGUCUGAAGAAUAGGGUGCUGAAAUAGCAAAUCAGGAGCCCCCUGAAGAACAAGUUGAGGAAAUUGUAAAUCAGGAACCCGCCCGAAGAACAGGGUGAUGAAAUUGCAAGUCAGGAGUCCGCCUGAAGAACAGGGUGAAGAAGUUGAAAGUCAAGCAACAAAGUGAAAGAAUUGAAAGUCAAGUAACAAGGGUAAGAGAUGGAAAGUCAAACGACAAGGUGAAACAAUUGAAAGCCAGGUAACAAGUUGAAGAAAUUGCAAGUCAGGAGCCUUCCUGAAGAAUAAGUGCUGCAGAUCGGAACCUCGACAGGACCUCACUCGAUUCUCCAACUCAGUAUAGUCCUUCUCCUUUCCUUGGAGGUAUCUAUGAUUGAGUUCCUUCAUAAAAUGGGUAGUUAAGAUUCGGUUUUUCUCCUUCCUUCCAUUUCAUUCUUUUUGAAUAAUGGUCGGAACAAAAUUCUGUUUCGUUGUCUACUUUUUUAUCUGAAAACACUUUGUGUUUACAUUCAAAUGGGGCAUGCUGUAGACACCUAAUUUUGUCCCUCCCAACGUUGAUUUUAUCCAUUUUUUUAGCUCACUUUACCACGUAUUCCCACCUAUGUGAUUAUAUCUAUAAAAUGACAAAAAUAAAAACUCUUAGUAAAUUUUAUCUUAUUUUAUUCCUAUCCUAACAAUUCCUCUAAUUAAAAGACAAUUCCUCACUAUCCAAUACCCUUCUACCCUACCUACCUACGUGCCCCCUCAUAUUUCUUGUCCACAAAGAAAAAGAAACCCACAGGGAAUCAUUCAUACAACAAUACAUCACAUUUUUCUUCUUUCCCUUGGAAGAAAACAAAAGAGAGGGGCCCACGUGAUUAAUUAUCAAUUUCCCUUGAAUGGAUAGGCAUACAUCAUAUAGAAAAGGAGGGAGGCCUACAGAAUUAGAGUCCACAAUAAUAAAAAGUGGGGCCCACGUAAUAUUUUGGCUUUUUCUUGGAUAAAGAGGUCUUCCUCUUCAUUCAUAAAGGGGGAUAUUUUCAUGGUCAUGGGAGAGAAAAAGGGAACUCCAUUAUUUUCCUUCUUAUACUCACGCACACACUGGUCACACUGGAUUACACACAAAUUCCUCAAGAAUACAACACUCAUACUCACAGAAUUGACCACUCCACUGCCAUAAGAUGACCUACAAACAAAAUCCAUCUUCUUCCCUUUGAUGCACCAUUAUACACGCACACACAUAGCUCCAAGGCACUAAAUCGCAUACACCACACACCGAAAAGUUCAGAUCGAGAGAGAAAGUCACGGAAGAGGGGGAGAAUCACGAGUAGAGGGAUGCGGAUUUUGCGGGAGGCCACUGUUUCCGGCAACAGACUCACCGGAAACGCGUCAAAAUCAUCGCAAACCUAGCUGAAUCAUCGGAAUACAUCACAUCAGGUACUUUUUUAUAGUCUUCGGUUAUUGCUGAAGUCGAUCGGAGUCACGACGACAUAAAAACAGUCCGCUGAACUAGGAUUUGUCCUCAAUCCCGUCUGUACCCGUUAGAAUCUGGUUCAGAUUGCUUUUAUUCUCACGACCUCUAGCUCGAAGUUGGGUGGGUUUAUCAUAAUCGGGUCGGGUCUCCCUAUUUUUUGCGAUACUCAGUCCCGAGUUUGGACAGAUUCGUUGAGGCUCAAGUCGAAGUUAUCAUAGGCGAGUUUUCUUUAUUUUGUUAAAUAAUAUUCAUCAAAAGCGACGUUAAGCUCCAUUUCUUUAACUCAUUCUUCCUUCUUUAUUUCAAUUCGUUAAAAUAGCCAUGAUUGUGUGUUAGGUGAUUCUGAUUGUUUGAUGUUGAUGUUGCGAUCAUGAUGCUUAGUGAUUUGAGGAAUUAAUUUGAUCAUGUUUAAUGGCGAUUGAUAAAAAGGGAAGUUGGGGUGGAAUUAAAAAUUGACGAUAAGGUUGGAUUCGAAUCAAUUUUGAUCGAUUGUUGAUAUGAAACGUGAUACUAUUAUGAUACGUUGAAUUGAAUAGGCUAAUGUAAGUUCGGGUAGGCAAUUUUAGGACUAAGUUUUUUUUUGUUUGUGGUUGAAUGGUGGAAUGACGUGUGAAUAUUUUUCUCUAGUCUAUCGCAUUCAAUUUAAAUGUAUUCAUUUAGUCGGGGAAUGUCUCGAGACACAUUGUAUUUAUUCUCCGGGGAAUGCCCCAAUGUACUAUGUUGGCGGGAGACGUUCAUGAUGAAGGUUUGAGGCAUCGGGUAAAGCGCGGGAGCGUAGUUAGGAUUAGUGUAGGUUCGUUAGGACUUAUUUUCACAUUUUUUUAUUAGUUAUUAUUUAUUUUGGACUGUAUAAAUUGGACUGGAUACUAUAUUUUGGAUUCGCUUUGUUUGUUUGGUUGCUUGUUUUAUGUGCUUA